UACAGAGGUCUCAAGCGUUGUUCGGAUUCAUUGGGCGUAAAGGGUGUGUAGGUGGCGCGCUAAGUCGGGUGUGAAAUUUCGGAGCUUAACUCCGAAACUGCAUUCGAUACUGGCGUGCUUGAGGACUGGAGAGGAGACUGGAAUUCAUGGUGUAGCGGUGAAAUGCGUAGAUAUCGUGAGGAAGACCAGUGGCGAAGCGGCAUCC
rnacentral:rRNA from 1 species